rnacentral:rRNA from 1 species
ACGCUGGCGGCAGGCCUAACACAUGCAAGUCGAGCGGUAGAGAGAAGCUUGCUUCUCUUGAGAGCGGCGGACGGGUGAGUAAUGCCUAGGAAUCUGCCUGGUAGUGGGGGAUAACGUUCGGAAACGGACGCUAAUACCGCAUACGUCCUACGGGAGAAAGCAGGGGACCUUCGGGCCUUGCGCUAUCAGAUGAGCCUAGGUCGGAUUAGCUAGUUGGUGGGGUAAUGGCUCACCAAGGCGACGAUCCGUAACUGGUCUGAGAGGAUGAUCAGUCACACUGGAACUGAGACACGGUCCAGACUCCUACGGGAGGCAGCAGUGGGGAAUAUUGGACAAUGGGCGAAAGCCUGAUCCAGCCAUGCCGCGUGUGUGAAGAAGGUCUUCGGAUUGUAAAGCACUUUAAGUUGGGAGGAAGGGCAGUUACCUAAUACGUGAUUGUUUUGACGUUACCGACAGAAUGAGCACCGGCUAACUCUGUGCCAGCAGCCGCGGUAAUACAGAGGGUGCAAGCGUUAAUCGGAAUUACUGGGCGUAAAGCGCGCGUAGGUGGUUAGUUAAGUUGGAUGUGAAAUCCCCGGGCUCACCUGGGAACUGCAUUCAAAACUGACUGACUAGAGUAUGGUAGAGGGUGGUGGAAUUUCCUGUGUAGCGGUGAAAUG